AUGAAAGAGUAUGACAACGCAAUGGAAACUUAUCAGGAAGGCCUAAAGCAUGAUCCGAGUAACCAGGAGCUGCUUGAUGGUGUAAAGAGAUAUAUUCAGCAGAUCAACAAGGCGAACAGAGGCAAACUUUACCCCAGAGGAACUGAGACAGACAGGGCAAAGCUAUGCAGGACCCUGAAAUCCAGAACAUCCUGA
rnacentral:rRNA from 1 species